CUACGGGGUGCUCCAGUGGGGAAUAUUGCACAAUGGGCGCAAGCCUGAUGCAGCCAUGCCGCGUGUAUGAAGCCUUCCUUCUUUUUUUCCCUCCCUUUCAGCGGGGAGGAAGGGAGUAAAGUUAAUACCUUUGCUCAUUGACGUUACCCGCAGAAGAAGCACCGGCUAACUCCGUGCCAGCAGCCGCGGUAAUACGGAGGGUGCAAGCGUUAAUCGGAAUUACUGGGCGUAAAGCGCACGCAGGCGGUUUGUUAAGUCAGAUGUGAAAUCCCCGGGCUCAACCUGGGAACUGCAUCUGAUACUGGCAAGCUUGAGUCUCGUAGAGGAGGGUAGAAUUCCAGGUGUAGCGGUGAAAUGCGUAGAGAUCUGGAGGAAUACCGGUGGCGAAGGCGGCCCCCUGGACGAAGACUGACGCUCAGGUGCGAAAGCGUGGGGAGCAAACAGGAUUAGAUACCCUUGUAGUC
rnacentral:rRNA from 1 species